rnacentral:rRNA from 1 species
AUUGAACGCUGGCGGCGUGCUUUACACAUGCAAGUCGAACGGUAACAGGUUAAGCUGACGAGUGGCGAACGGGUGAGUAAUGCAUCGGAACGUGCCCGGUCGUGGGGGAUAACACUUCGAAAGAAGUACUAAUACCGCAUACGAUCUGAGGAUGAAAGCGGGGGACAGUAAGGCCUCGCGCGAUCGGAGCGGCCGAUGUGAGAUUAGGUAGUUGGUGGGGUAAAGGCUCACCAAGCCGACGAUCUGUAGCUGGUCUGAGAGGUCGACCAGCCACACUGGGACUGAGACACGGCCCAGACUCCUACGGGAGGCAGCAGUGGGGAAUUUUGGACAAUGGGCGCAAGCCUGAUCCAGCAAUGCCGCGUGCAGGAAGAAGGCCUUCGGGUUGUAAACUGCUUUUGUACGGAGCGAAAAGGCUCCCUCUAAUACAGGGGGCUCAUGACGGUACCGUAAGAAUAAGCACCGGCUAACUACGUGCCAGCCGCCGCGGUAA